UCCCCGAAUGCUCGAGGGCUUGAGCGCUGCUGACGAGCAGAGUGUCGUGGGUUCGAAUCCCACACGGGGAGC
rnacentral:tRNA from 1 species